rnacentral:rRNA from 1 species
GACGAACGCUGGCGGCGUGCUUAACACAUGCAAGUCGAACGGUAAGGCCCUUCGGGGUACACGAGUGGCGAACGGGUGAGUAACACGUGGGUGAUCUGCCCUGCACUUCGGGAUAAGCCUGGGGAACUGGGUCUAAUACCGGAUAGGACCACUGGCUGCAUGGGUGGGGGUGGAAAGCUUUUGCGGUGUGGGAUGGGGCCGCGGCCUAUCAGCUUGUUGGUGGGGUGAUGGCCUACCAAGGCGACGACGGGUAGCCGGCCUGAGAGGGUGACCGGCCACACUGGGACUGAGAUACGGCCCAGACUCCUACGGGAGGCAGCAGUGGGGAAUAUUGCACAAUGGGCGCAAGCCUGAUGCAGCGACGCCGCGUGAGGGAUGACGGCCUUCGGGUUGUAAACCUCUUUCAGCACCGACGAAGCGCAAGUGACGGUAGGUGCAGAAGAAGGACCGGCCAACUACGUGCCAGCCGCCGCGGUAA